CCUGAACAUUUGGAACAGAUGGAUAGAAUUUGGUAGUGGAACAUUUAAA
rnacentral:rRNA from 1 species